rnacentral:lncRNA from 1 species
AGGACAUGACCUUACGCUAUCAUCCCCCACCGCGGCCACUAUCCCUCCAACCGACUUUGGGAAACAGUGGCGCACACACGCACUAUAACGAAAUACGCAAAAAGGUACACUCUAGAUAGCAACAGAAUAAACCUCACUCGAGAUGCUAGCUAAAAUAUGUAAAAAGGUGCACAAAGUAAACAAGAGAGCGGGAGGUACCAACUCC